rnacentral:rRNA from 1 species
UCGAGAAUCAUUCGCAAUGGGCGAAAGCCUGACGAUGCGACGCUGUGUGAGCGAAGUAGGCCUUCGGGUCGUAAAGCUCUUUCGCCUGGGAACAAGAGAAGCUGACUAAUAAUCAGCUAAUUUGAGCGUAUCAGGUAAAGAAGCACCGGCUAACUCCGUGCCAGCAGCUGCGGUAAUACGGAGGGAGCAAGCGUUAUCCGGAUUUAUUGGGUGUAAAGGGUGCGUAGACGGGAAUGCAAGUUAGCUGUGAAAUCCCUCGGCUUAACUGAGGAACUGCAACUAAAACUAUAUUUCUUGAGUGCUGGAGAGGAAAGUGGAAUUCCUAGUGUAGCGGUGAAAUGCGUAGAUAUUAGGAGGAACACCGGUGGCGAAGGCGACUUUCUGGACAGUAACUGACGUU